AUGGCCGGCCUGCCUCGCCUCGUCGUGCUCCUGCUCCUCGUCUUCGCCGUCCCUGUCGCCCAGCCCACCCCCUACAGCGACAACCUCCAGGACGCGUGCAACAAGACGCUGUUCCCUAAAGUGUGCAUCCAGUCGCUGACGACCAACCCGGAGACCCGGACAGCGGACGCGCGCCGGCUGGCCGAGCUGUCCGUGUACGUGGCCAAGGAGGUAGGCACCACGGUGGCAGCGUUCGCUCACCACGAGCUCAGCGGCGUCAAGGAGGACACCCUGUUCAAGUGCCUCGACGGCUGCUCCGACGACAUUGAAGAGACGGUGGCGCACCUGAGCGCCCUCACCCGCGAGCCCACCUGCGCCAAGUUCCUCGAGAUCAAGUCGUGGCUGUCCGCGACGCUGGGCGGCUCCAACACCUGUGAGGAGACCUGCAAGGACGCGCCCAUCAGCGACGUCAAGAACGCCGUCGUAACCAAGAGCCUCGAGUUCGAGAAGCUGCUCCGCGUCACGCUCGACCUCAUCACCGAGGCGUCUGGCCCCAUGCCCGCCGCCGGCGCCGCGGUGGCGCCCACGGCCGCACCUGAGUCGUCCGACAGUGCCAGCGCGUCGGGCUCCUACGGCUCCAGCGCAUCGGCAUCCGAAGCACCAUCCACUGAUGCGUCGGCGUCCUCGAGCGCACCUACCUCCGAGGCACCGUCAGCUGACGCGUCGGGCUCCUACGGCUCCACCGCAUCGGGCUCCGAAGCACCAUCGGCCGAUGCAUCGGCACCCUCGAACGCACAAACCUCCGACUCAACGUCAGCUGACGCACCGGCCUCCUCCUACGGCGCCUCCAGCGGGCCAGCUGCCGAUGCACCGUCGGCAUCCCCAUCGGACGCGGACGCUCCAUCUUCCGGGGCUGCCGACUCGCCAUCGUCAGGGGCAUCAUACGGGUCUGCCGGCGCACCGUCCCCGUCCGGGUCCGGCGCCAGCGCUCCUGAGGCCGAUUCGACAGCAUGA
rnacentral:rRNA from 1 species